rnacentral:rRNA from 1 species
UACGUAGGGGGCAAGCGUUGUCCGGAUUUAUUGGGCGUAAAGAGCGUGUAGGCGGUUCGGUAAGUCUGCUGUGAAAGUCGGGGGCUCAACCCUCGAAUGCCGGUGGAUACUGUCGGACUAGAGUGCGGAAGAGGCGAGUGGAAUUCCUGGUGUAGCGGUGAAAUGCGCAGAUAUCAGGAGGAACACCAAUUGCGAAGGCAGCUCGCUGGGACGUUACUGACGCUGAGACGCGAAAGCGUGGGGAGCAAACAGG